AUGGUGGAAUUUGCCAGCGGUGUGAAAGAAAUCGCCUUAAAUCUUGAGAAUGAGAAUGUAGGUAUUGUUGUCUUUGGUAGUGAUACCGUUAUUAAAGAAGGAGAUCUUGUCAAGCGCACUGGAUCUAUUGUGGAUGUUCCUGCGGGAAAGGCCGUGUUAGGCCGUGUGGUCGACGCCUUGGGAGUACCUAUUGAUGGAAAAGGGGCUCUAAGCGAUCACGAACGAAGACGUGUCGAAAUGAAAGCCCUAGGGAUUAUUGAACAUAAAUAUGUGCACGAACCCAUGCAAACAUGCUUAAAAGCAGUGGAUAGCCCGGUUCCUAUAGGCUGUGGUCAACGAGAACUUAUAAUCGGGGACAGAGAAACUGGAAAAACUGCAAUAGCUAUCGAUACUAUAUUGAACCAAAAGCAAAUGAACUCAAGGGACACAAAUGAGAGUGAGACAUUGUAUUGUGUCUAUGUUGCGAUUGGACAAAAAUGCUUUGGAAUAUUCCAUUCUUGUAGCAGCCACCGCUUCGGAUCCUGCUCCUCUGCAAUUUCUGGCCCCAUAUUUAGGGUGUGCCAUGGGGGAAUAUUUCCGCAAUAA
rnacentral:rRNA from 1 species